rnacentral:miRNA from 1 species
CGGGUGUGUGUGUGUGUGUG